rnacentral:rRNA from 1 species
CUACCGGGGUAUCUAAUCCUGUUCGCUCCCCACGCUUUCGUCCAUCAGUGUCAGUACGUUGUUAGUGAUCUGCCUUCGCAAUCGGUAUUCUAUGUAAUAUCUAUGCAUUUCACCGCUACACUACAUAUUCUAACCACUUCACAACGACUCAAGAUCGGCAGUAUCAAGGGCAGUUCUACAGUUGAGCUGCAGGCUUUCACCCCUGACUUACCGGUCCACCUACGGACCCUUUAAACCCAAUGAUUCCGGAUAACGCUUGGAUCCUCCGUAUUACCGCGGCUGCUGGCAC